rnacentral:rRNA from 1 species
AUUGAACGCUGGCGGCAGGCCUAACACAUGCAAGUCGAGCGGAUGAAGAGAGCUUGCUCUCUGAUUUAGCGGCGGAUGGGUGAGUAAUGCCUAGGAAUCUGCCUGGUAGUGGGGAAUAACGUUCCGAAAGGAACGCUAAUACCGCGUACGUCCUACGGGAGAAAGCAGGGGACCUUCGGGCCUUGCGCUAUCAGAUGAGACUAGGUCGGAUUAGCUAGUUGGUGAGGUAAUGGCUCACCAAGGCGACGAUCCGUAACUGGUCUGAGAGGAUGAUCAGUCACACUGGAACUGAGACACGGUCCAGACUCCUACGGGAGGCAGCAGUGGGGAAUAUUGGACAAUGGGCGAAAGCCUGAUCCAGCCAUGCCGCGUGUGUGAAGAAGGUCUUCGGAUUGUAAAGCACUUUAAGUUGGGAGGAAGGGCAGUAAGUUAAUACCUUGCUGUUUUGACGUUACCGACAGAAUAAGCACCGGCUAACUUCGUGCCAGCCGCCGCCGUAACAC